rnacentral:rRNA from 1 species
GGAGCUGUACGUAAGCGUUGAUCCAGAGAUUUCCGAAUGGGGGAACCCACUAUCUUUAGUCGGAUAGUAUCCUUACGUGAAUACAUAGCGUGAGGAAGGCAGACCCAGGGAACUGAAACAUCUAAGUACCUGGAGGAAGAGAAAGAAAAAUCGAUUUCCUGAGUAGCGGCGAGCGAAACGGAAAGAGCCCAAACCAAGAAGCUUGCUUCUUGGGGUUGUAGGACACUCUAUACGGAGUUACAAAAGAAAGUUAUAAAUGAAGCGGUCUGGAAAGGCCCGCCAAAGACGGUAACAGCCCGGUAGUUGAAAUGGCUUUCCCUCCAGAGUGGAUCCUGAGUACGGCGGAACACGUGAAAUUCCGUCGGAAUCCGGGAGGACCAUCUCCCAAGGCUAAAUACUCCCUAGUGACCGAUAGUGAACCAGUACCGUGAGGGAAAGGUGAAAAGCACCCCGGAAGGGGAGUGAAACAGUUCCUGAAACCGUGUGCCUACAAGUAGUUAGAGCCCGUUAAUGGGUGAUAGCGUGCCUUUUGUAGAAUGAACCGGCGAGUUACGAUUUGUUGCAAGGUUAAGCGGAAAAAGCGGAGCCGUAGCGAAAGCGAGUCUGAAUAGGGCGCAUAAGUAACAGGUCGUAGACCCGAAACCAGGUGAUCUACCCAUGUCCAGGAUGAAGGUAAGGUAAUACUUACUGGAGGUCCGAACCCACGCACGUUGAAAAGUGCGGGGAUGAGGUGUGGGUAGCGGAGAAAUUCCAAUCGAACUUGGAGAUAGCUGGUUCUCUCCGAAAUAGCUUUAGGGCUAGCCUCGAGGUAAAGAGUCAUGGAGGUAGAGCACUGUUUGGACUAGGGGCCCUUCUCGGGUUACCGAAUUCAGAUAAACUCCGAAUGCCAUGUACUUAUACUCGGGAGUCAGACUGCGAGUGAUAAGAUCCGUAGUCGAAAGGGAAACAGCCCAGACCACCAGUUAAGGUCCCCAAAUAUAUGUUAAGUGGAAAAGGAUGUGGGGUUGCUUAGACAACCAGGAUGUUGGCUUAGAAGCAGCCACCAUUGAAAGAGUGCGUAAUAGCUCACUGGUCGAGUGACCCCGCGCCGAAAAUGUACCGGGGCUAAACAUAUUACC